CACAGCAGCUAAGAAUAUUCCGCAAUGGUCGAAAGACUGACGGAGCGACGCCGCGUGAAUGAUGAAGGCCGUGAGGUUGUAAAGUUCUUUUCUGGAGGGAGAAUAAGUGCAUCAGGGAAUGGGUGCAUGAUGACGUGAAUCCAGGAAUAAGCCCCGGCUAACUACGUGCCAGCAGCCGCGGUAACACGUAGGGGGCAAGCGUUGUUCGGAAUUAUUGGGCGUAAAGGGCGCGCAGGCGGCCUGGCAAGUCUGCUGUUAAAUGGUUGAGCUUAACUCAAUCAUGCGGUGGAAACUACAAGGCUAGAAUCAACGAGGGGAUGCCGGAAUUCCAGGUGUAGGGGUGAAAUCUGUAGAUAUCUGGAAGAACACCAAUGGCGAAGGCAGGCAUCUGGCGACUGAUUGACGCUGAGGCGCGAAGGUGCGGGGAGCAAACAGGUUUAGAUAUCCUGGUAGUCCGCACAGUAAACGAUGUGCACCAGGUGGCGGGUAGCAGUACUCGGUACCGAAGCAAACGCAUUAAGUGCACCGCCUGGGGAGUAUGCUCGCAAGGGUGAAACUCAAAGGAAUUGACGG
rnacentral:rRNA from 1 species